rnacentral:rRNA from 1 species
UGCGCAGGCGGAAGAGUAAGUCAGUGGUGAAAGGUUGCCGCUUAACGGUAAGAUUGCCAUUGAUACUGCUUUUCUUGAGUAUGGUUGAGGUAGACGGAAUGUGUAGUGUAGCGGUGAAAUGCAUAGAUAUUACACAGAACACCAAUUGCGAAGGCAGUCUACUAAGCCAUCACUGACGCUGAGGCACGAAAGCGUGGGGAGCAAACAGGAUUAGAUACCCUGGUAGUC